AGCAGUUAGACAGUUACGACCCUAAUGAUCAGAUUGCCCUAUUGAGCAAAGGGUCAGUCCUAUUCAUUUGGGCAGGUUGAAUUUCAGAGAGAUGUUUCAGUGAAGCAGAGUCAAAGAAACUGAAUAGUUCGAACUAAUUUUCCUGAGGAGUUUCCAGCUUGGCGCUUGUUCAAAACAUCGUCGAGCACUGAUUAGAUUCCACCCUCAUCACAAAUAUAAACAUGAUUGGGUAAUAACAUUCAUUUCCAUCUUUAUUUGUUUCAAAU
rnacentral:lncRNA from 1 species